GAAGGGGCUGGCUCUGCUGCUGCUCCUGCCCGGGAGCCCCGGCUGGGCCGGGCCGGCGCCCGCUGCACUGCGGCUGCUGCUGCUGCCAGAGCUGGGCGGGACUCGGGGACAGCGACGGACACGGGGGGACAGCAAAGGCCUGGUGGCUGCAGGUAUGUUGGUGCUGGGGCCGGCACCAGCACACAGCUUCUGCCUGCAAUUAACCCUGAGGGAAACGCUGAGGAAAGGUUCCAUUUCAGCCUUUCUUUACUGGUUGAUGUGAAGGGACCAAAAUCAAAGGAGAACAAGCAGGGUCCGACCCCUUCUCCUUUGCGAGGAGCCCCACACGUGGGGCUGUGAGGGGCCAUGAGGGGCCAUGAGGGGCCAUGAGAAGCCGUGAGGGGCUCUGAGGAGCCAUGAGAGACUGUGAGGGGCUGUAAGGAGACAUGAGGAGCUAUGAGGUCUGUGAGGGGCCAUAAGGGGCUCUGAGGGGCCAUGAAGGGCUAUUAGGGACCUUGAUGGGGAAAAGUUAAAAAGUUAUUGUUAUUAGUUCUGUUAUGAUAAUUAGUUAUAUUCUGUUAGCUUGAAAAAUGGUAUGGUCCUUGAUUCCCCCUAUGUAACUCCCUCAUGAUGGUACCUUCCAAGUUGUUUACCCCCUGCUUUUCCCGCCACUGGCCUGCCCUUCAAAGUGAGUGAUCCCUUGCUCCGCCCCUUAUUUCCUUGUAUGGUUAUGUCAAUCCCCAAAGUGCUGCUGUCCAUCAUUGUAAACACUCCUCGCCAUUUUUUGGGAAACUUCUAUGUCAGUCAUCCCCUACACCCACUGUGAUUUGUCCCAGAGGCUUCCUCCCUCCCCUGUGUAAUCUUUAUUGGUUCUAUUGUUUCUUAUAGUCCUCCCCUUGCUUUUACCUAUUGGUUCCCUCACGUCUCCUCCCUCCUACACCCACUCCCUUUAGAAGAGCUAGCCUGACCCCUUUUCCUGACACUUGUCCCUGCCCCUGCUGAGGUACUUGAUCCCAGUCCUGUUGGGGAAUAAAGCUUCCUUGGCUCGCAUACAAGUGUUCGCUCUCUCGGUCCUUUGUUUUGGAUCCUCGUGGCUCACACCCGCCUGUGUCACCCACGCCGCAGACAACACCACUGCCCAGGUGUUCUCGGAAAGAGAGCCUGGAGUGGCGCGUCUUGUGACCCCCUCCGGUCACACCAGGAGCAGCUAGCCGGCGCAUCCCAGCCCCAGUGACCCCAGUGUGGAGUCGCAGGCAAGUAGAAGCAAAUAACCAAAACAACAUCCCCAGAGCUCUGCUCUGCAGUGGGGUGAAUUGGGAGUGACAGUGCUGAAAAGCUGUUUAAUACUCUGGGUGGAUUUAAUCAAACAUCACUCCCAGUUUCUGUUUAUCUGUUUCUAUAGAACAGACAUGAGUCCUCCAGAGCAUCAGCAGAGCCCCUUGUUCCUUGGAGCUUUCUGAGCCAGCCCUCACCAGAUUUCCUAAAAUGGGCCAUCAAAGGAUGCUACCAUCACCAAGAAGAUGGAGACUAGGAAGAAGAAGGAAGAAGAACAGGACAACGCUCAAAUCCCUCCAUCUUGUCCCCUAGACCCCCAUAGUAAAAUUCUUCCAAAUUC